UUUAGAUAUACACUUUACAAUUAAAUACCUGACAUCUUUUUGUAAAAUACCUGACAUCUCGGAGUUAAGAAAUGCGAAUUACACUUUUCUCUCUCUUUCUCUCAUCUUUGCUACUGCCGGCUCUCCACUGAAAGAUUCUUUCAACUCACCGGCUCCGAUCGAACUCCUCUACGGGGAGGGAAUCUGGCGGAGAACUGACGAAGACGAUUUUGGAUCCCCCUCUUCUUCUUCUACCUCCCUCCUCACCUUUCUCCAAAUCACGAAGACAGAACUAGGGUUUCUCCUUCUUCUUCUUCCUCAUUCAAAUGAAAGAAUACAGAUAAUCGAUCAUGCAUCCCCUUCUUCUCAAGCAGAAGAGCUUGCUAGGGAUCGGGUGGUUGUGGGGAUUUGUGAUGGACCAAUGCUGAUGAAGAAAGAGGUUUUUCUGUUUAUUUCAUAUUUGUGAUUAUGUCAAUUUAUUCGGAUGUUUUUGCACGGUUUCAUGGAUGAUAGAGUAGCUUGAAUAGAGGAUUUGUGCCGUUCUGGUUUUUCUACAGUUGGCGGACUUGAUUGAGCCCAUCGAUGUGAGAGUGAAAGCUGUAGAGGAUUACAUCAAGGUAAGAUAGGAAAAUCCUCCUCACAGCAUUUUCUAGUUUUUUGCAAAUUGAUGGGUUUUUGCUGUAUACGUUGUCCAAACUCAUUUAAUCUUCUUGUCACUACUCGAUUCUGUCAAAAAGGAAUUUUUUUGCAAGAAAUCAGAUGGUUCAAAAGUUGUGGGGAACUUAGAACUGAAAAUUUCUCAGCAUUACAUAAUUUUGUAUAGUUAUGGUGAAUGUCAGUAUGACUUGUGGUUAAUUCAUCCUUUAACUAGUCUUUCACUUUCCAA